UCUUCCCAAAGGCAAGCACCAGAUGCAUUCACACAGGAAAUGAACCAUGUUCACUGAGAAACUACUGGAAGAUUUGAACAGCUUUUUCAAUGAGAACCUAUACCCAAACCCCAGCCUUCAGUGGGCUUCGAAAAUCGAAAUACAUCCAACAGUACUGGAGGUCUGGUUCGAGAACCACAGAGCAAAACUUAAGAAAGCCAAAUGCAAGCAUAUUCAGCAAAAACAAGAAACUCAACAACCAUCAAUAUCAGAGGGCGAAGUCAAGACCAGUGCUGGCCUGAGAAAUACAGACACGCUACUCAGAUUCCCCAAUGCUGCUCAUCCUAUCGGCCUGAAUAACACUUGCUUUUCUUGUCCUCGAAGAAACGGUUGUCAUCAUCGUAACCUAGUAAGUUACAACUGA
rnacentral:lncRNA from 1 species